rnacentral:rRNA from 1 species
ACUACGGGAGGCAGCAGUGAGGAAUAUUGGUCAAUGGGCGCAAGCCUGAACCAGCCAAGUCGCGUGAGGGAUGAAGGUCCUAUGGAUUGUAAACCUCUUUUGUCGGGGAGCAAGGCCCGCCACGUGUGGCGGGCAGGAGAGUACCCGAAGAAAAAGCAUCGGCUAACUCCGGGCCAGCAGCCGCGGUAAUACGGAGGAUGCGAGCGUUAUCCGGAUUUAUUGGGUUUAAAGGGUGCGUAGGCGGACUGUUAAGUCAGCGGUCAAAUGUCGGUGCUCAACCCCGUCCUGCCGUUGAAACUGGGCGUCGUGAGUGAGCGAGAAGUAUGCGGAAUGCGUGGUGUAGCGGUGAAAUGCAUAGAUAUCACGCAGAACUCCGAUUGCGAAGGCAGCAUACCGGCGCUCAACUGACGCUGAGGCACGAAAGCGUGGGGAUCGAACAGGAUUAGAUACCCUUGUAGUC